rnacentral:rRNA from 1 species
AGAGUUGAUUCUUGGCUCAGAUUGAACGCUGGCGGCAGGCCUAACACAUGCAAGUCGAACGGUAACAGGAAGAAGCUUGCUUCUUUGCUGACGAGUGGCGGACGGGUGAGUAAUGUCUGGGAAACUGCCUGAUGGAGGGGGAUAACUACUGGAAACGGUAGCUAAUACCGCAUAACGUCGCAAGACCAAAGAGGGGGACCUUCGGGCCUCUUGCCAUCGGAUGUGCCCAGAUGGGAUUAGCUAGUAGGCGGGGUAACGGCUCACCUAGGCGACGAUCCCUAGCUGGUCUGAGAGGAUGACCAGCCACACUGGAACUGAGACACGGUCCAGACUCCUACGGGAGGCAGCAGUGGGGAAUAUUGCACAAUGGGCGCAAGCCUGAUGCAGCCAUGCCGCGUGUAUGAAGAAGGCCUUCGGGUUGUAAAGUACUUUCAGCGGGGAGGAAGGGAGUAAAGUUAAUACCUUUGCUCAUUGACGUUACCCGCAGAAGAAGCACCGGCUAACUCCGUGCCAGCAGCCGCGGUAAUACGGAGGGUGCAAGCGUUAAUCGGAAUUACUGGGCGUAAAGCGCAAGCAGGCGGUUUGUUAAGUCAGAUGUGAAAUCCCCGGGCUCAACCUGGGAACUGCAUCUGAUACUGGCAAGCUUGAGUCUCGUAGAGGGGGGUAGAAUUCCAGGUGUAGCGGUGAAAUGCGUAGAGAUCAGAAGGAAUACCGGUGGCGAAGGCGGCCCCCUGGACGAAGACUGACGCUCAGGUGCGAAAGCGUGGGGAACAAACAGGAUUAGAUACCCUGGUAGUCCACGCCGUAAACGAUGUCGACUUGGAGGUUGUGCCCUUGAGGCGUGGCUUCCGGAGCUAACGCGUUAAGUCGACCGCCUGGGGAGUACGGCCGCAAGGUUAAAACUCAAAUGAAUUGACGGGGGCCCGCACAAGCGGUGGAGCAUGUGGUUUAAUUCGAUGCAACGCGAAGAACCUUACCUGGUCUUGACAUCCACGGAAGUUUUCAGAGAUGAGAAUGUGCCUUCGGGAACCGUGAGACAGGUGCUGCAUGGCUGUCGUCAGCUCGUGUUGUGAAAUGUUGGGUUAAGUCCCGCAACGAGCGCAACCCUUAUCCUUUGUUGCCAGCGGUCCGGCCGGGAACUCAAAGGAGACUGCCAGUGAUAAACUGGAGGAAGGUGGGGAUGACGUCAAGUCAUCAUGGCCCUUACGACCAGGGCUACACACGUGCUACAAUGGCGCAUACAAAGAGAAGCGACCUCGCGAGAGCAAGCGGACCUCAUAAAGUGCGUCGUAGUCCGGAUUGGAGUCUGCAACUCGACUCCAUGAAGUCGGAAUCGCUAGUAAUCGUGGAUCAGAAUGCCACGGUGAAUACGUUCCCGGGCCUUGUACACACCGCCCGUCACACCAUGGGAGUGGGUUGCAAAAGAAGUAGGUAGCUUAACCUUCGGGAGGGCGCUUACCACUUUGUGAUUCAUGACUGGGGUGAAGU